rnacentral:rRNA from 1 species
ACGGCAGCACGGGAGCAAUCCUGGUGGCGAGUGGCGAAGGGUGAGUAAUAUAUCGGAACGUGCCCAGUCGUGGGGGAUAACGCAGCGAAAGCUGUGCUAAUACCGCAUACGAUCUCUGGAUGAAAGCGGGGGGCUCGCAAGAGCCUCGCGCGAUUGGAGCGGCCGAUAUCAGAUUAGCUAGUUGGUGGGGUAAAAGCCCACCAAGGCGACGAUCUGUAGCUGGUCUGAGAGGACGACCAGCCACACUGGAACUGAGACACGGUCCAGACUCCUACGGGAGGCAGCAGUGGGGAAUUUUGGACAAUGGGCGAAAGCCUGAUCCAGCAAUGCCGCGUGCAGGAUGAAGGCCUUAGGGUUGUAAACUGCUUUUGUACGGAACGAAACGGCUCCUUCUAAUACAAGGGGCUAAUGACGGUACCGUAAGAAUAAGCACCGGCUAACUACGUGCCAGCAGCCGCGGUAAU